GCAUACCACCCUGAACUCGCCCGAUCUCGUCUGAUCUCGGAAGCUAAGCAGGGUCGGGCCUGGUUAGUACUUGGAUGGGAGAAAAGCUAGUUGCC
ensembl:rRNA 5S_rRNA 5S ribosomal RNA